UACGGAGGGUGCAAGCGUUAUCCGAUUCACUGGGUUUAAAGGGUGCGUAGGUGGGUAAGUAAGUCAGUUGGUGAAAUCUCCGGGCUUAACCCGGAAACUGCCAUUGAUACUAUUUGUCUUGAAUACUGUGGAGGUCAGCGGAAUAUGUCAUGUAGCGGUGAAAUGCGUUAGAUAUGACAUAGAACACCAAUUGCGAAGGCAGCUGGCUACACAAAUAUUGACACUGAGGCACGAAAGCGUGGGGAUCAAACAGGA
rnacentral:rRNA from 1 species